AUUGCACGCUGGCGUCAGGCCUAACACCUGCAAGUCGAGCGAGCGGCGGACGGGUGAGUAAUGUAUGGGGACUGCCCGCUCGAGGGGGAUAACUACUGGCAACGGUAGCUAAUACCGCAUACUCUCGGAUAACCCAUAUGGGAGUAGCUAGUCGGUUAGGUAAUGGCUCACCUAGGCGACGAUCCCUCGCUGUUCUGAGAGGAUGAUCAGCCACAAUGGGACUGAGACACGUCCCAGACUCAGACGGAGGAAGCAGUGGGGAAUAUUGCAAAAUGGGAGCAAGCUGGAUGAAGCCAUGCCGGGUGUAUGAAGAAGGCCCUAGGGUUGUAAAGUACUUUCAGUAGGGAGGCGUUACCGACAGAAGAAGCAGCGGCUAACUCCGUGACAGCAGCCGCGGUAAUAC
rnacentral:rRNA from 1 species